rnacentral:rRNA from 1 species
ACUCCUACGGGAGGCAGCAGUGGGGAAUCUUGGACAAUGGGGGCAACCCUGAUCCAGCCAUGCCGCGUGAGUGAUGAAGGCCUUAGGGUCGUAAAGCUCUUUCGCCUGUGAUGAUAAUGACAGUAGCAGGUAAAGAAACCCCGGCUAACUCCGUGCCAGCAGCCGCGGUAAUACGGAGGGGUUAGCGUUGUUCGGAAUUACUGGGCGUAAAGCGCGCGUAGGCGGAUUAGUCAGUUAGAGGUGAAAUCCCAGGGCUCAACCCUGGAACUGCCUUUAAUACUGCUAGUCUUGAGUUCGAGAGAGGUGAGUGGAAUUCCGAGUGUAGAGGUGAAAUUCGUAGAUAUUCGGAGGAACACCAGUGGCGAAGGCGGCUCACUGGCUCGAUACUGACGCUGAGGUGCGAAAGUGUGGGGGAGCAAACAGGAUUAGAUACCCUGGUAGACAUCAC